rnacentral:rRNA from 1 species
GCCAGGCUCCUACGGGAGGCAGCAGUGGGGGAUAUUGCACAAUGGGGGGAACCCUGAUGCAGCGACGCCGCGUGGGUGAAGGAGUAUUUCGGUAUGUAAAGCCCUAUCGGCAGGGAAGAAGCAAGACGGUACCUGACUAAGAAGCCCCGGCUAACUACGUGCCAGCAGCCGCGGUAAUACGUAGGGGGCGAGCGUUAUCCGGAUUCACUGGGUGUAAAGGGAGCGUAGACGGCCAAGCAAGCCAGGGGUGAAAGCCCGGGGGCCAACCCCGGGACUGCCCUUGGAACUGCUUGGCUUGAGUGCGGGAGGGGCAGGCGGAAUUCCUGGUGUAGCGGUGAAAUGCGUAGAUAUCAGGAGGAACACCGGUGGCGAAGGCGGCCUGCUGGACUGCGACUGACGUUGAGGCCCGAAAGCGUGGGGAGCAAACAGGAUUAGAUACCCCUGUAGAC